rnacentral:lncRNA from 1 species
UGGAUGGACAGCAAAUUCGGUGUAUGCUAGCUGGUCCACAUUACUGGGGAGCAGGUUAGCUAUAGCUACUAGAAGCAUGAGAACUUCACCCAGUGUGGUCCAAAGGUUAAAACACAUCAAACACACUGCAAGUUGUUGUCAUGGGUCCUACAGUCAACUGCCCUUAUGCUGGUUUUGUCUCCUGGACACUUUGUACCAGCUGAAGAUAGGCUCCCCUCCCGCCAAACACCAGUGCCUCAUUAUGACUCAAACUGGGAGUG